UUAGGUGGCUUUCUUUCUUUGUAG
rnacentral:piRNA from 1 species